rnacentral:rRNA from 1 species
GCCCAGUCGUAAACCUUGAUGAUAACCUACAAAUAUCAUCCGCCAGGGAACUACAAGCGCAUCGCUCGAAACCCAACGGACUUGGCGGUGCCCCACACCCACCUAGAGGAGCCUGUUCUAUAACUGACAAUCCCCGUUCAACCUCACCACCCCUAGCCCCUUCAGUCUAUAUACCACCGUCGUAAGCUCACCCUGUGAAGGUUAAACAGUAAGCAAGAUGGGCACAACCCAAAACGUCAGGUCGAGGUGUAGCAUAUGGAGUGGAAAGAAAUGGGCUACAUUUUCUGUCUACAGAACACUACGAACAACGUCAUGAAACCUGCCGUUCAAAGGAGGAUUUAGCAGUAAAAAGAAAACAGAGAGUUCUUUUGAAGCCGGCCCUGGGGCGCGC